UACGUAGGUGACAAGCGUUGUCCGGAUUUACUGGGCGUAAAGAGCGCGCAGGCGGUCGUUCAAGUCGAGUGUGAAAGCCCCCGGCUCAACUGGGGAGGGUCAUUCGAUACUGAUCGACUCGAAGGCAGGAGAGGGUAGUGGAAUUCCCGGUGUAGUGGUGAAAUGCGUAGAUAUCGGGAGGAACACCAGUGGCGAAGGCGACUACCUGGCCUGUUCUUGACGCUGAGGCGCGAAAGCCAGGGGAGCGAACGGG
rnacentral:rRNA from 1 species